GAUGAACGCUGGCGGCGUGCCUAAUACAUGCAAGUCGAGCGAACGGACGAGAAGCUUGCUUUUCUGAUGUUAGCGGCGGACGGGUGAGUAACACGUGGAUAACCUACCUAUAAGACUGGGAUAAAUUCGGGAAACCGGAGCUAAUACCGGAUAAUAUUUUUAACCGCAUGGUUCAAAAGUGAAAGACGGUCUUGCUGUCACUUAUAGAUGGAUCCGCGCUGCAUUGGCUAGUUGGUAAGGUAACGGCUUACCAAGGCAACGAUGCAUAGCCGACCUGAGAGGGUGAUCGGCCACACUGGAACUGAGACACGGUCCAGACUCCUACGGGAGGCAGCAGUAGGGAAUCUUCCGCAAUGGGCGAAAGCCUGACGGAGCAACGCCGCGUGAGUGAUGAAGGUCUUCGGAUCGUAAAACUCUGUUAUUAGGGAAGAACAUAUGUGUAAGUAACUGUGCACAUCUUGACGGUACCUUACCAGAAAGCCACGGCUAACUACGUG
rnacentral:rRNA from 1 species